GUCAAACAUCCACAUUCUCUGCCAGACUUUACGUGUGUCUCGAUGCCCCACAAACGUACGCCCAGCUGUUUGCGCCUGAUUGUGAUUUGAAUUCUUUGUGCCGGAUCAGUAAUCGGGCUCGCCACGGUUUGUCUCCCGUCUUAGGAUGCAGUGUAUCGCAUUCUUGGAUUUGGGUGUGCUGCAGACCUCUGAGUUGGCUAGGGUUUUCUUAUCUUCCUUGCGCUAGGAUUUCUGUUUUUCCAUGCGCUCAUGUAUAAUGUUUGAUUUUGCUCCUUCCGAGUCUACAUCUUCGUUUCGUUGGGUAGCUUCGUUGAUGGGCGUGAUUGACAAGAAUGAUCCUGGCGGAGGUAGAGAGCCUUUCUCACGACGGGCAGUUCCAUCGCUUGACCUUAGCUUGAUCGCUUUCUUCUGUUCUAUUACUACCCUCGCCUUCCUCGUACCGGUGGUGGUCACGUAGGCAUUUCAAGACAAUGGAUACCGAAAUUGAAGACGUGAAGCAAGAGAUUAGGAAAGUAGAGCAACAGAUUAUUUAUGCGGAAGAACAAGUGACGCAGGCUGCCACAGAGGCCGCGUUUGCUUACUGGGGGAAAAAGGAGGAGCAGUUGCGGAAAAAGGAGGAGCAACUGCGGGCAAAGGAACUGCUGCUGCUCAAGGCUGAUAUUUCAGGGCAUGCGUCAGAGCCUGUCGCUGAAGUGGUGAAACAGGUUAGCUUACGGCUAGGAUGCAUAGAGCAGACUCUCGUGAAACAGGAACAGACCCUCGUGAAACAGGAACAGACGGUUGUGAAAAAGCUGGAAGAGUUGCGUUUACAGCUGGAUUCAAGUUCCUCCUCUAUGGCGUCAAUGAGUGAUGUUGAUAAAGGUAUUCGAGUAAGUAAAAGCACUGUGAGGCUCAUUAUGCCGAAACCUUUGUCUGGUGAGGAGGCAGAAGGUUUAUGGCCAGAAGAUUGUUGGAAAAAUUUGAAGGGGCUGAGUCCAGAGAAGUACUUUAAAGAGCUUCUGAGCGGACUGAGAGAUGAUGCUUCGACAUGUUGGAAGAUAAAAUUUACAGGGUCUUCUCCAUCUGUUUGUGGGCCCGUUUUAAAGCCAGAUGUUCUGAUUUACAAACGACCUCCAUCAGCUGGGGUUGAUCCAAUUCCCUUAACGACUGGGGUAAUACUUGAGCUCCAGUCAGGUGGGGGUAAGUACAACAGCUAUUUCAAUAUUGGAAAAGCUGCAAGAUACGGAGAGAAGAUGUUGGAGAGCUUAAUGGGUUUCAGGCGCUCGGUACUAGUAGGCGUCACAGAUUUGGAGAUGGUGCAAUGGUUUAAGGUCAUCAUGGAAGAUAAAAAGAGGUUCACGUAUGAAGUGCACGUUGAGUUAAACGAUGUGCGUGGGUCCCUGUGCGCCCUACUGAAGAGCAGUCUCAGCGACCUUGAGGUUGAAGUGCCAGUACUAAGUGUAUCCAGGGUCGAGUACGAGCCAAUCCGUUUUCUGGGGUCUGGAGCUACAAGUAAUGUUCUCUGUGUGAAAGACGAGGAUGACAGAGAAUAUGCGGCAAAAAUUCCGCUUCAUGGGAAGAACUUGCAGAAUGACUAUCGAAUGCUUACUUGCUUGAAUGAUGUGAAAGGAGUGCCCAAGGUGCUAGGCUGGUUUGACGAUGAAAAGUCCCUGCGAAUCCAUCCAGUAGGGGAAAGGAUAUCGCAUAAGUCAAUUUCCAGUCGUUGGUCAUUGGUGCCAGGGCUCGUGGAUGUUCUUGAAAGGGCGCACGAGCACGGCAUCAUUAAUCGCGAUGUGCGGCCGGACAACAUCAUGAUUGCCAAAAGAGAGUUAGAAGAGACUGAGAUGCUCUAUAUCCUGGAUUGGGGUUAUGCUGUUACUAAGAAAAAAUCUUCUUGCUUCAGUGGAGGAGUGAUGUAUGCCUCGGAGCGGAUUUUAGAACAGUUGGCAGAGGGUGAUCACCAAGUUGUGGUCGAUGAACGGGAUGAUACUGAAGCGCUUGUCCACACCAUUUUUGCAUUAAGAUAUAGGGAGAAGCACAAAAUGUUACGAGGGUUGAAUCGCCAGGACUUUGAUGAAAUCCGGAGAUUCUGGAGCGUGUGUUACGAUGAGCAUCCAGGAUGGCAGUCAGCUUGGACGGCUGCACGUUCUGGGGAUUAUGUCGAACUGAAAAGGGAGCUUCAGAAGAUGGUCCUCAAUUCCUGUUUAUCAUAGUGACAGUCGCUUCUGCUCACAAGGACGAUGCUAUAAAUUUGUUGUCCUGGCAGCGAUGUACUGGAAGUUUCCACCUUCAACCUAGAAAAUCCUCUAACAUGUGUUGCCGUUAUUGACACCCUCGUUGAUUUAUCACCUUUGUAGAUCUUUCUGCAUGCCAUACAGGAGGUGUUCCGGGAGCUUGGUCUUUUAGUUUUUGAAGAAUUGGUGGCGAAGUUCGCUUAGCCAGAGUUUUGAAAGUUCAGGAUUGGUGGUUGCAGUGCAUGAUUGUUUAGGGGAAUUCGGUGGAGUUUUAUUUGGCGAUGUUCGUGAAUGGAAGCGCCUCUGCAGAAAAGUUGUAUGCCAUUGUACACCAUUGUUCAACGAAAGCCCAAGCCAGACUCGAGAGGCGAGUGAUAUUUCAGCGUCAUGAGUAGACGUUGGGGUUGCGAAGAUUUGAUCACGCUUAAUUGAGCUUUUGUUCAGUUGCACCGUUUGGUUACAAGACUUAAGAAUUUCAGAGUUUUGGUAUGUGUUGCACUUUGCGAGCAAGGAAGUCUUGUAUUGUUAUGGUCAGUAUGUGGAGGUAUGUGGUCAGUAUGUGGAGGUCAGUAUGUGGAGGUCAGUAUGUGGAGUUGCUGACCGACCUGCUGGCGCAAAAUUAAACUAGACGUGAUCAAGAUACCAAGGGUCUGAUUCUACCUCUUUUCUAGGCUGCUAGGAUUCUGAGUUUGCUUCAUUAUGACUGGAGAUUUUGUAGGAGUAUCACGAAGAGGAAAAGUGUCGCAUGCUCAGAUGGUGGUGGAAGUUUUUCACAAUCAUUUUUUGAAUUACAAGACAGCAGGGCCCUGCUGUCUUUUUCGAUUUGAGCCGUUGAGAUUCUGUAACUUUACUGCAGGAUAAUUUUCUUCUUGCUGGUAGUAUGUAACCACCUUUCAUUGCAAACUGACUUUGGAAUCCGUAUUGAUCUUCAUUAUAUUUAGGGAACUUUUGUCUUGUUAA